CGCGUAGGCGGUUCCGUAAGUUAGAUGUGAAAGACCCUGGCUCAACCAGGGAACGGCAUCUGAAACUGCGGGGCUAGAGGCCGAGAGGGGUGAGCGGAACUCCUGGUGGAGCGGUGAAAUGCGUAGAUAUCAGGAGGAACACCGGUGGCGAAAGCGGCUCACUGGCUCGGUUCUGACGCUGAGGUGCGAAAGCCAGGGUAGCGAACG
rnacentral:rRNA from 1 species